rnacentral:rRNA from 1 species
GGCGAGCGAAGCGGGAAGAGCUCAAAUUUAUAAUCUGGCACCUUCGGUGUCCGAGUUGUAAUCUCUAGAAAUGUUUUCCGCGUUGGACCGCACACAAGUCUGUUGGAAUACAGCGGCAUAGUGGUGAGACCCCCGUAUAUGGUGCGGACGCCCAGCGCUUUGUGAUACAUUUUCGAAGAGUCGAGUUGUUUGGGAAUGCAGCUCAAAUUGGGUGGUAAAUUCCAUCUAAAGCUAAAUAUUGGCGAGAGACCGAUAGCGAACAAGUACCGUGAGGGAAAGAUGAAAAGCACUUUGGAAAGAGAGUUAACAGUACGUGAAAUUGUUGGAAGGGAAACGCUUGAAGUCAGACUUGCUUGCCGAGCAAUCGGUUUGCAGGCCAGCAUCAGUUUUCCGGGAUGGAUAAUGGUAGAGAGAAGGUAGCAGUUUCGGCUGUGUUAUAGCUCUCUGCUGGAUACAUCUUGGGGGACUGAGGAACGCAGUGUGCCUUUGGCGGGGGUUUCGACCUCUUCACACU